rnacentral:rRNA from 1 species
CAGUAGCCGCGGUAAUACGUAGGUGGCAAGCGUUGUCCGGAAUUAUUGGGCGUAAAGCGCGCGCAGGUGGUUUAAUAAGUCUGAUGUGAGAGCCCACGGCUCAACCGUGGAGGGUCAUUGGAAACUGUUAAACUUGAGUGCAGGAGAGAAAAGUGGAAUUCCUAGUGUAGCGGUGAAAUGCGUAGAGAUUAGGAGGAACACCAGUGGCGAAGGCGGCUUUUUGGCCUGUAACUGACACUGAGGCGCGAAAGCGUGGGGAGCAAACAGGAUUAGAUACCCCCGUAGUCCCUGUCUCUUAUAC